rnacentral:tmRNA from 1 species
GGGGACGACAUGGUUUCGACGGGAUUCAGGAUGGCAUUGGGUGCAGGUCGAGGCUGGAGUGCCCUCGUAAAUCACAUUCCAAAACAAUAAGUGCGAACAACACUUAUGCCCUUGCUGCCUAAUUAAUUAGGGAGCAUGCCCUCCCCGGCUGGGGCGCAGCGGUCGGGGAUGCGGCACCAACUCUCUGCGCUGGCGUACGGCAGGCCGCGGUCCGUGCGUGAGAUUAUGCGGCUGGCUUCCCCAAGCUCUGUCGUUGGUGCGACCGGGAAGUGAGAAACUAACCAGCGAAGACACCUGUGGUACCCGGUGUGGUCCGCUUUCCGGACGCGGGUUCGAUUCCCGCCGUCUCCACUA